rnacentral:rRNA from 1 species
CCUACGGGAGGCAGCAGUGAGGAAUAUUGGUCAAUGGGCGCGAGCCUGAACCAGCCAAGUAGCGUGAAGGAUGACUGCCCUACGGGUUGUAAACUUCUUUUAUAAAGGAAUAAAGUGAGGCACGUGUGCCUUAUUGUCUGUACUUUAUCAAUAAGGAUCGGCUAACUCCGUGCCAGCAGCCGCGGUAAUACGGAGGCUCCGAGCGUUAUCCGGAUUUAUUGGGUUUAAAGGGAGCGUAGAUGGGUUGUUAAGUCAGUUGUGAAAGUUUGCGGCUCAACCGUAAAAUUGCAAUUGAUACUGGCAGUCUUGAGUACAGUUGAGGUAGGCGGAAUUCGUGGUGUAGCGGUGAAAUGCUUAGAUAUCACGAAGAACUCCGAUUGCGAAGGCAGCUUACUAAACUGCCACUGACAUUGAUGCUCGAAAGUGUGGGUAUCAAACAGGAUUAGAUACCCUUGUAGUC